UAUUUACGUGUGUCACUCGACACUGACUGCAAGAAACAAAGAGUGGAGAGCUAAUGCAUGGUGCUAAGUAUGGAAAGGUCUCUUGUGGUUUGGUUGUGCCAGAGACAUAUGUACAUUAUUUCCAUGUUGGGUCAGAAGUCUUGGUACACUUUGGGUGAGUGGCAGUUGGGAAGAUGGAUGACCUUCAGAUAAUUUGAGAUGAAG